GAUGAACGCUGGCGGCGUGCCUAAUACAUGCAAGUCGAGCGAACGGACGAGAAGCUUGCUUCUCUGAUGUUAGCGGCGGACGGGUGAGUAACACGUGGAUAACCUACCUAUAAGACUGGGAUAACUUCGGGAAACCGGAGCUAAUACCGGAUAAUAUUUUGAACCGCAUGGUUCAAAAGUAAAAGACGGUCUUGCUGUCACUUAUAGAUGGAUCCGCGCUGCAUUAGCUAGUUGGUAAGGUAACGGCUUACCAAGGCAACGAUGCAUAGCCGACCUGAGAGGGUGAUCGGCCACACUGGAACUGAGACACGGUCCAGACUCCUACGGGAGGCAGCAGUAGGGAAUCUUCCGCAAUGGGCGAAAGCAUGACGGAGCAACGCCGCGUGAGUGAUGAAGGUCUUCGGAUCGUAAAACUCUGUUAUUAGGGAAGAACAUAUGUGUAAGUAACUGUGCACAUCUUGACGGUACCUAAUCAGAAGGCCACGGCUAACUACGUG
rnacentral:rRNA from 1 species